ACCCGCUGAACUUAAGCAUAUCAAUAAGCGGAGGAAAAGAAACUAACAAGGAUUCCCCUAGUAACUGCGAGUGAAGCGGGAAAAGCUCAAAUUUAAAAUCUGGUAGUCUUCGGCUGCCCGAGUUGUAGUCUGGAGAAGUGUCUUCCGCGCCGGACCGUGUACAAGUCUCUUGGAACAGAGCGUCAUAGAGGGUGAGAAUCCCGUCUUUGACACGGACUACCGGUGCUUUGUGAUGCGCUCUCAAAGAGUCGAGUUGUUUGGGAAUGCAGCUCAAAAUGGGUGGUAAAUUCCAUCUAAAGCUAAAUAUUGGCGAGAGACCGAUAGCGAACAAGUACCGUGAGGGAAAGAUGAAAAGCACUUUGGAAAGAGAGUUAAACAGUACGUGAAAUUGCUGAAAGGGAAACGCUUGAAGUCAGUCGCGUCGUCCAGAACUCAACCUGGCUUUUGCUGGGUGCACUUUCUGGUAGACGGGCCAACAUCAGUUUUGAUUGCUGGAGAAAAGCCUUUGGAAUGUGGCACCUUCGGGUGUGUUAUAGCCUUGGGUUGUAUACAGUGGUUGGGACUGAGGACCGCAGCACGCCUUUAUGGCCGGGGUUCGCCCACGUACGUGCUUAGGAUGUUGGCGUAAUGGCUUUAAGCGACCCGUCUUGAAACACGGACCAAGGAGUCUAACAUGCCUGCGAGUGUUUGGGUGGCAAACCCGAGCGCGCAACGAAAGUGAAAGUUGGCAUCCCUGUCGUGGGGAGCACCGACGCCCAUACCAGACCUUCUGUGACGGCUAUGCGGUUGAGCAUGUAUGUUGGGACCCGAAAGAUGGUGAACUAUGCCUGAAUAGGGUGAAGCCAGAGGAAACUCUGGUGGAAGCUCGUAGCGAUUCUGACGUGCAAAUCGAUCGUCAAAUUUGGGUAUAGGGGCGAAAGACUAAUCGAACCAUCUAGUAGCUGGUUCCUGCCGAAGUUUCCCUCAGGA
rnacentral:rRNA from 2 species